GACGAACGCUGGCGGCGCGCCUAACACAUGCAAGUCGAACGAGCGAGAGAGAGAUUGCUUUCUCGAGCGAGUGGCGAACGGGUGAGUAACGCGUGAGGAACCUGCCUCAAAGAGGGGGACAACAGUUGGAAACGACUGCUAAUACCGCAUAAGCACACGACCCGGCAUCGGGUAGAGGUAAAAGGAGCAAUCUGCUUUGAGAUGGCCUCGCGUCCGAUUAUCUAGUUGGGGAGGUAACGGCCCACCAAGGCGACGAUCGGUAGCCGGACUGAGAGGAUGAACGGCCACAUUGGGACUGAGACACGGCCCAGACUCCUACGGGAGGAAGCAGUGGGGAAUAUUGCACAAUGGGGGAAAGCCUGAUGCAGCGACGCCGCGUGGAGGAAGAAGGUCUUAGGAUUGUAAACUCCUGUUGUUGAGGAAGAUAAUGACGGUACUCAACAAGGAAGUGACGGCUAACUACGUG
rnacentral:rRNA from 1 species